rnacentral:tRNA from 1 species
AAGGUGUUCAACUUACAAAUGAAAAAUGUUCACAUAACCCGAACCCCUAUGA